UACGUAGGGUGCAAGCGUUGUCCGGAAUUAUUGGGCGUAAAGAGCUCGUAGGCGGUUUGUCGCGUCUGCUGUGAAAACUCGGGGCUUAACUCCGGGCCUGCAGUGGGUACGGGCAGACUAGAGUGCGGUAGGGGAGACUGGAAUUCCUGGUGUAGCGGUGAAAUGCGUAGAUAUCGGGAGGAACACCAGUGGCGAAGGCGGCUUCCUGGCCUGUUCUUGACGCUGAGGAGCGAAAGCGUGGGGAGCGAACAGGA
rnacentral:rRNA from 1 species